UAGUUCCAUAGCACCCCAUUCCUUGUUUCAUUUUCUUUCCUCACGUCUCUUGCCAAGCCCAUUCGUCCCAUUUUCGUCAGUCAAGGAAGCACACCUAUGUACAACUGUGUUCGCCAUCUCUCUCCUUCAAAAUCACGGUACGAAAAACAGAGCCGAAGGAAAUAUAUGGUAUAAUGAAAACCCUCCAUUCUGUUUUCCGCCUUUCAGCGCGCCAAAUCCCAUUCCUGAUCACGAAGGUGUUUUAAUCUUGUUGUGUUCUCCCCUUUAAAUAUCUUCGACAAACUGUUAGAGAAAAAAGAAAAGGUACUCUCUCUCUCUCUCAUGUGCUCUAAACCCCUACCCUCCCUCAUGUUCUCUAUAGUCGUUUUGCAUCUGAGGCCAAUACCAACGAUUCUUUAGGUUUUUUAAGAAUCAGAAUCGAGUUUUCAUAUUUGAAUGAGUUUAUUGGAAAAAGGAAAAUCGUUGUUUUAACUGUUUUCAGAAUAAGAAGGCAUCGACUGGACUGGUGAGGCAUCUGUGCCCAAAGACUAUGUGAUAUCUUACAUUAUAGUAUCAUCUGGAUCUACUAAUUAUUGGCGUUCUGCUAGGUGGGACUUAGAUUGAGCGACAACCUUAAGCAGGUUUGUGAAGGUUUUAUGACUAUUUCUUUUUAGUAGGUUACAAGCAUCUGCGCUCUUUGGUAAGCGAGUGUUCUGGUGCUAUACCAUUUGCUUAAUUCUCUUAAAAUUUUAAGUUGUCUUUGGUAUUUGGUUAUUUUUCAUGACUUUUUAUUUUUGUCUGAAAUUUCAACCAUCAAUUCAUGCAUAACUCAUCCUUGUUUGGAAUUGAGGAUAAGGAUUCUAUUCUUUAUUUCUAAAUUCUUCUCAUAUGGCUUCUAUUACAAAAAAAAUUUAGAUCUUAAUAAGCAACUUUAACUACAUUGAACAAGAUCUCUAACAUUUAACUUCUACUUCCUGACCAAGAUAUUUAGAUGGACUUUCUAAGACCAUAAUAUUUUGAAUGACAUCAGAUUGCUUGAAUCUUUUUUUUUUUUUUUUUGUUCCAUGUCCCUUUCUAUGAGUGUUUUCAUUUGCCAACCUGAUUAUAACUGCAGGAAGAGAAAUCUUAGGAUGAUUAUGUUUCUUCCCUACGCUUCAUAUUGAGACUAUAUUGCAUAUGUAUUAACUAAGGAUCAUGUUGUGUACCACUAAUUUCUUGAUUUUCAUUUGAACUUGAGUAUCUUGUUAAAAUAAUUGAUUAGUCAUAUAAGUAUUUAUAACUACAACCACAAAUCAUUGUAAUUAAAGGCAAGAGUUGGUGACAGUUAUGUAUUUAAGUUACAUUAUUCCUAAGAGGCGGGGGAGUUAUCAUUUCAUGCAUUCGAUAUUCAGUGGUGAUUAACUGCAUGUAAACAACUAAAUUAAUUUGUAAAUUUAAACUAAAGAGAUUAAUAUUUAUUGCCCUGUUCUACCAUAGGUUAAUGCAUUCAUCAUUUAUAUAAGGGGUGGUGAUAUUGACUACCUUGAAGUAUGUUAUGCCUUUUAUCUCUGCUGUAGUGUUGCUAGUAUGUGAUACCUCACAAGCCCAACUAUUCAAUUCGACUGUAUUUCCAGCAAGACUGGGAAUCCCUUUAGAAUUUCAAGCUGUAGGCUGGGCUGGUUGUGGGCCAGAUUAAUGUUCACAAUACAUUGUACUAUCUAGUCUAGCAUAUCUAAUUUCUUUUCUAUUAGACACUCAACCCUUAAUUUACAUAAAUUUCUUGCUUCAACAUUGAUUUCCUACUAAGCAUUUAAACAUUUCCCGGAACCUGAAGAUAUAGAGUCAUACAUAGUUAAAACGGACUCGUACCCUCUUUAUCCAUGAGGAGCAGCUUAAUUAUCUAAGGUCAUAGGUCUUUAUUGAUAACUGUACUUAUGCAUGGGGAACCUAGUAUAUAAUUUAUUUCUUUGGAAGGACUUCAAUUUAAGAAUUUUUGAAAAGCUUACACAUGUGAGUGGGGUGUUUUUGUUAGACUAUUGUUGUAUAACUAUAUGUUUUAUAUGGAGUAAUGUUAUGCCUCCAAACUGCUACUUGUAUCCCUUUUACACAUUAUACUGAAGAAGCUAUUCUCAUAUUUGAAUAUUUUGUUGACACAAUUAUAAUAGUGCCUCUGUGUAUUCUUUUUGAGAAUCUGGGUUAUGAAGCAGUAAUUUUCUGUCCUACUAACAAUAACCUUAUUUCAUGCUACUUUGUUUUGUCAUUGUUGUUUAUUUUUUCCUUACUUGAUAAUUUUUACUUUGCGAAUUCCAUAAUAUUUUUUUCGUUUCUAGUCUUCCCUCUCUUAAACAAAUAGCUACACAAACUUCCAGAAUAAUAGUAUGAAAUCAAAACCCCAACUCAUAAGAAAACUUUGUUAUAUUUUACAUCUACUUCUUGUUGGUUUAGUACUUUAGUCUUUGGCAGCCCAUUACGGUGUUUGAGGCUAACAUUUUUACUAACACUGGAUUCUUGGCAGUCCACUCACAACAUUAAGUUCAAGUUUAUGGCUUGGCUUGUUGUCCCUUGUCAGUGAACUUCAUGUGGCAGUCAAUUGUUGGAUGUUCAGCAUUUCUUUGUUCCACUAAUACAAGCUCAAUUUCUUUUGUUAAGAGUAUUGUUUAAUGCUUUACGUGUCCUCUCUUUUAUACCUUUUUGUAUAUUUCUUUGAUUAUUCUUCCCUGUUUUCUUAUUGUGUUGCAUCAGGUAAGUAGUUAGCACCUUAAUAUACCUAGCCAACCACUUUUAUAUGGAUCCUUUUGUUUUCUGGUCUUUUUUCUUUAUAACCAACUCCAUUAAGUUGGGAUAAGGCUUAAUUUUUUAUAGUUUGUUGUAUCACCAUUUUCAUUACAAGGAUCUAAGGAACAAAUAGCUUGCGCAAGAUGAAAAGAAAUAUGAAAGGCUUAAGAGAUGUUAGGUGUGACCCAAUUGUUGGGAUAUAAGUAAAAGAUAAAUUAAAUAUAAUUUUACUGGGCAAAAGAGCUGAUUUGAAAAUCAUGUAAGUUUUUGAUAAAUUAGUUUUUAUUUUUUAGGUUGAACUGAAUCCCUCUGAGGGUUCAUAAUUCUCCAAGGAUGGUUCAGGAGGUUGCCGGGGGGGGGGGUGACGCAGGUGAAGAAAUUAUUGUUUCUAACUCGACAGUGGUGGGGAAUUCUUCUCUCCCUGCCAUUGAUAAGUUGCAUUGUGCUAUUAAGGAUGGUUCUCUAACUCGCAUCAAAAUUCCUCAGUCAGCGUAUGAAAAACAAUUGGAACUGCAUCAGUUUACACUGCUGGGGCGUUUGAAUUUCAGAUCGUUGUCCAUGAAUGAUUUACGUGAUUUUGUUAAUAAAUCGUUGACGUUAAAGGAGCAGGUCGUGCUCAAAUCGAUGGGUAAAGGAUUUGUUAUGUUUCAGUUCCAGAAUGAAGCAGAUAUGGCGGCAAUUUGGAAACAUGGUCCUGUACGUGUGGAGGGACUAUAUGUGGAACGACAGGUUGGUUAGGCAGAUUCGUUUAUUUUUAAACAAAAGGUGAUUUUUGAAGAUCCUCCUGUUCGAUGUGUGGUGUGUAGCAAGUAUGGCCAUAGGCCAGAUUAUUGUCCAUCACGAAAGGGGAAAGAGAAGAUGUCAGCAACUUCAAGUGAUGUAGAGAGACCGGUGGUUCAGUGCCGUCGGCAGGAAUGGAGGCCACGGGAAGUUCAAAUGCAGCAGGGAGAGGGGUGUUCCAAUCUUGGAAGGUAGGAUACUAUGGGAUCUCCUACAGCUAGAGGAGGUGAGGUGGUUGCACCAAAUCGGGAAGAUAAUGAGGACACGUCUCUUCCCAUUAAUUUCUCCCCUAGUGGAUUGGUGAAUGGGGCGGCAGGUGGGUUGGACCCAUUGGAUGUGGGUGAUAACCAUAGUGAUUUGCAUGGAGCAGUGGGUGAAGGAAUUAUUGUUGUAGUUCUUGAGGGUAGUCCACAGGAAGUUGCCAAUGCUGGUCAUGUGCGGUGCUCUUCUCCUUUGGUUGAUUGUCACGAUAAUGGGAGGUUGGAAAUUAUCCAUUAUGAUCCAUUAGAGGAUGGGGAGGAUCAAGGAGUUGGAAAUUUUAUUCUAGUUACUCGUAAGAGGUCAAAGAAUGCUCAAGGUGUUGCUGUGGAGAAUUUACAGGGUACUCUUCGACGUAGUAAUCGGGUUAUGGAGAUGACUUUAGUUGACAAUGCGGUUCAAGGGAAUUGCAGAGCAGGGGCGAGUUCAAAUCGGUCCCUGGUUGUGCACAACUCUCAUUUGUUUUUUAAGAAGCUCCUCUUUUGGAAUAUACAAGGUGUAGGUAAUUGCAGAGCGACAGCUGCUUUGCGCUUGAUCAUAAAGGAUCAUAAUCCAAUGGUGGUUUGUCUGGCAGAACCAAAAUGUAGUUUGGACAGGUGUCCUAAAUUAUUUUGUAAUUCUUUGGGAUAUUGUUGUGAUUUUAUUCAUAACUCUGGAGCUGACAAAGUCCCAAAUAUUUGGGUCCUAUGGAAGACUUAGAUAUGGAAAUUGGUGGUGGUUCUCUCUUCAGAUCAACAGGUUUCUAUGUUUGUUGAAGCGUGGGGAUGCAAAUUCUUCCUAUCGAUGGUGCAUGCGAGCUCAUUCAAGGUGAAUAGAUGGCAGCUUUGGUGUGAUUUAUGUACCAUCUCAAGGUCAUCAAUCCCCUAGAUGGUUUUUGGUGAUUUCAAUGCUUGUCUGUUUUUCUCAUGAGAAACAGGGACCUGGUUCGUUCAGUGUUGGGUCGGCAGAGGAAUUUUUGGCUAUGAUGGAUAUGGCUUUGCUGAUUUCUAUCCCGUUGCAUGGCUGUAAAUUCACUUGGUCGAAUAAUAGGCGUGUUGGAAAUGUAAGGCUGCUUUGGACCAGAGUAUGUGAAAUGAGGAGUGGUUGGAUGCCUUUUCUCGUUGUUCACAACACGUGUUGACUCAUAAUUAUUCUGAUCACUCUCCUAUUAUGAUCUCUUGUGAUGACAUUCCUUGUCCAGCAAAUAACCCUUUUAGGAUGCAACGAUUUUGGGUGGAGCAUUCAGAUUUUUUGAAGGUGGUUCGUGAGUCGUGGGAGGUCCCAAUUAGUGGGACACCAAUCUAUGUGGUUGCGGGAAAAUUAAAGAGAAUGAAGAAUCAGUUGAGAAGUUGGGCGGCCUAUGCUUCCCUCAUGCAGAUGUUGAGGUUCAAAAAACCAUAAAAGCUCUUGAUGAGAUUCAAGAAAAUAUUGAGUCAGAGGGUUUUUCUGAUAGUUUGUUUGAUAAGGAAUUGGUAGCCAGGAGUGAUUACUCAAAGGCCUUAGAGCUGCAAGAGAAGAUAUGGUUAGAAAAAUCAAGGAUUCGAUGGUUUCGGGAGGGUGAUCGAAAUUCCAAGUUUUUCCAUGUCCACUAAAUCAAGAGAGGUAGGAAUGUUAUUCGUUCUAUUCAAGGAAGUGAUGGCAAUUUGAUUUCAGAUCCUGUAGCUAUUGGUCAUCAAAUUGCAUCCCAUUUUGAGAAUUUUCAGAAAAAAGAUUCAACAGUUGGCAGGGCAGAGAUUCUCUCGUGUAUUCCUGAGAUUGUUACUUCUAGAGAUAAUACAAUGCUCUUGGCAAUCCCUACAGCUGAGGAAGUUAGAGCGGCGGUGUUUGACUUGGAUCCUUCAAGUGCCCCUGAUCCAGAUGGUUUUUCAGGUACAUUUUAUCGCAAUUGUUGGGAUAUAGUGGGUGGAGAGGUAUGUUUGGCAAUUCAAAAUUUCUUUAGGGAAGGGAUUAUUACAAAAGGGGUUAACUCCAAUUUUAUUUCUCUUAUUCCUAAAGUGGAAUCAGCCUCCAAGGUGACUCAGUUUAGACCCAUUUUUCUUGGGAAUUUCUUUUUUAAGUUAAUUCCUAAGAUUAUUGCUACUCGUGUUUCAACAAUAUUACCUAAGUUGAUUUCAGGAGAACAGGGAGCUUUUCAGAAAGGAAAGAUUAUCUUCCCUAAUAUAUGUGUCGCCUCAGAGUUAGCAAAUAUGAUGCAUGUAAAAUCUUUUAGAGGCAGUCUGGGGUUGACGUUGGACAUAUAGAAAGCAUAUGAUACUUUGGAUCGA